AUGGCCAUGGUAGCGAGAGCCGCGCUGCUCCUGGCCAUGGUGGUCGUGGCAAGCGCCACCUACUGCCCCCCGCCGCCGGCGCCGGUGCCCCGCUACGGGUCGUGCCCCCAGAACGCGCUCAAGCUGCACGUGUGUGCCAACGUGCUGAACCUGGUGAAGGCCAAGAUCGGCGUGCCGCCAACGGAGCCCUGCUGCUCGCUCCUCGACGGGCUCGUCAACCUGGACGCCGCCGUCUGCCUUUGCACCGCCAUCAAGGCCAACGUGCUCGGGAUCCACCUCAACGUCCCCAUCGACCUUAGCCUCAUCCUGAACAACUGCGGCAAGAUCUGCCCCGCCGACUUCCAGUGCAUCCACUAG
rnacentral:rRNA from 1 species